GCCUUGCUGGCUCAGUCAGUAGAGCAUGUGACUCUUAAUCUCAGGGUCGUGAGUUCAAGCUCCACAUUGGGCA
rnacentral:tRNA from 1 species